rnacentral:rRNA from 1 species
AUUGAACGCUGGCGGCAGGCCUAACACCUGCAAGUCGAGCGAGCGGCGGACGGGUGAGUAAUGUCUGGGAAACUGCCUGAUGGAGGGGGAUAACUACUGGAAACGGUAGCUAAUACCGCAUACCAUCGGAUGUGCCCAGAUGGGAUUAGCUAGUAGGUGGGGUAACGGCUCACCUAGGCGCCGAUCCCUAGCUGGGCUGAGAGGAUGACCAGCCACACUGGAACUGAGACACGGUCCAGACUCCUACGGGAGGCAGCAGUGGGGAAUAUUGCACAAUGGGCGCAAGCCUGAUGCAGCUAUGCCGCGUGUAUGAAGAAGGCCUUCGGGUUGUAAAGUACUGGCAGCGGGGAGGCGUUACCCGCAGAAGAAGCACCGGCUAACUCCGUGCCAGCAGCCGCGGUAAUUC